CACGUAGGCACCAAGCGUUGUCCGGAUUUAUUGGGCGUAAAGAGCGUGUAGGCGGCCAGGUAGGUCAGCUGUGAAAACUCGAGGCUCAACCUCGAGACGUCGGUUGAAACCACCUGGCUAGAGUCCGGAAGAGGAGAGUGGAAUUCCUGGUGUAGCGGUGAAAUGCGCAGAUAUCAGGAGGAACACCGGUGGCGAAGGCGGAUCUCUGGGCCUUGCCUGACGCUGAGGCGCGAAAGCUAGGGGAGCGAACAGG
rnacentral:rRNA from 1 species